rnacentral:ncRNA from 2 species
AAAGGUUUGGUCCUGGCCUUAU